rnacentral:tRNA from 1 species
GGGAAUGUAGUUCAGUGGUAGAAUGCUUGCCUAGUGUGUAUAAAGUCCUGGGCUUGAUCCCCAGCACCACCA